UCCAUCUGUGAUUUAAUUCUCUUAUUUCUGAGACAUUUCCUUAAUUUACAUCUUAUUUUUUUUCUUUUCUAGUCCUUUGAUUUUCUUCUUUGUUAACACUAUUUAUGCAAAUGUUGGAUCUCCUUUCUCUAUCUUCCUAAACCCCCACUUCUUUUCUAAUGUUUUAAAAUCUUUGCUUCUUUCGUUUUACUCAAUUUUUGUAUAGCUGGGUUCUGUUUCCUUCUGUGCUUUCUUUCAGUGAGUUUAUUUUUCUCUGUGCUGCUUCCAGUUUGAUUCUCAUUUCUGUGAUGGCUUUUUUUUUUUAUCUUCUACUUCUUUCUUGAGCUGAUCUUGCUUAUCUUCCACCUUCUAUUAUUGUUUUACCAUGGCUGCUCUGACUCUAGUAUCUCUGAUUUGUGUUUUUGUUUUAAAGAGGCACUUGCUUCAUUAUGCUUUUUAUAUGUAGUACACUAUAUCUGACUACAAUUUUUAUUUGCUCUAUGUCAUUAUUUCUUGGGUAAUUGGUCUACACACCUUUUAUUUUCCUUGCUGGUUUUCUCCUUUUUAAAAAAUAGAUCUUAUGCAGUUUCCUUUUUCUUCUUCUUCUUUUUUGAAUGAGGAUAAUCUACUUGCAGAAGAGUUUGAUAAAGAGAGGGCAGUGUUAUGAUCCAGACUAAUAGGAAUUCUAUUUAUGACAUGGGCUGUAUAAAUUCUUUUGGCUUUUAUUCCUCUCUAGUCCAUUAAAAAUGGCACUAUAGGCUGUUUUAAUCUUCUUCUUUGUCUCCCACUCAGAUCAUUGCCAAAAUACAGCUUGUCUAUGUGUUUCCUAAAUUAGCUCCACUCCCUCAGCUAUUUUAGACUUGAUGGCAAUAGGAUCCAAAGAGGCUUCCACUAUUAGCUUAUACACCUCAUUUAUCUUGUUUUAAGUAUGAAAUAAUUCUUUAAAAUACCUUACGGCAUGGCACUUGCUUUAGAGACGUAUGCUCUGCUGGCCUUUUGGCCUUUUCAGCUGUGAUUGUCCUCUCUUCAUAUCUUCCUGUACUUUCUCUUUGACCGUCACAACUUUUUCUAUCCCUUCUUUUGUUUUAUGAUUCGGAGCUUCAGAUUUCUCUAGUUUAAUUAAAGACAGAUUUUUGUUUCUAUCUCAUAUUACUUAUAGAAGGGGCAACAUUUAACUUAUUUCACUAUGAUUAAAUCUGAAGUUCUUUCAGCCUCAAAUUUAUAUAUCCCAAUCGAUUAAGGUGCUUAGCAGAACAAAAGUGUCUUAAUUUUCCCAUGGUCUGCCCAGGUUGAAGGGUAGUGUGUUUUUAAGCAGCAAACUUCUUUUCUCCUCAUCAUAUAUGUGUAUACAUAUCUAAAUCUAUCUAUAUAUAUAUGUAAUUUUAUUUAAAAAAUAAACUGGAAGGGAAAAUUCUAAAACAUUGAUUGUAAUUAUCUAUGCAUGCAAGGAACCAAUGAUGUCCAAAACUUUGUAGGUGUACCAGCUUCUAAGAAUUUGCUAAUCAUCUAUCAGGUGACAGAUACCAAAUUUGGAAAGAUGUAGAUACAACAGUCAGGAUGUGGAACAGAAGUCCACGGAUAAGCAAGUCAGGAAGGAAUUAGUAUUGGUGUGGGAGGAGAGAUGAAGUCGAGAAGCUCCGUUCUUCUUUAAACUUGCAUUUCUGAGCCAUGUGGUAAAAUUGCGUGUGGGUGUUUGGUCUGGUUUAAAGGACGGUGUGUCAGGAGGAAAGAAGCAUGCCAUGUACUUUCAUUUCUCUGUGCCAUAUUUACCCUACAGCCUGGAAAAUACAGCCUGGAACAUUCUGUCUCAUUCUUUAAGAUUGUGAAUUCUGUGAAGACUAGGAUUCAAUCUUAUGAUUUUCACUUUCCAGCACACAACUUGAGAUACAUUGAAUUCUUAUUAAGAGCAUCAUGGAGCCAGUCUCAAACUCAUCUGACUUGUGUGCUUAAAAUUCCAAUCCCUUGUGAAAUGGCUGAGGAUGUUUAAAAUUGGAAGAAGCUUCAGUAGUAUGGCCUUCCAUGACCUCUUUUUCUGCCUCAUCUGACAUCUGUCGGAAUGAUGAUGUGAGGCUGGAGAGAGGAACAAGGUGGAGAACAUCUCACAGCAACAAAGUUAUUUUGCUGGGCAUAGUUUUUGUAUAUGUGUGUGUAUUUUGUGAAAGUCUCUAAUUUUAAUAAAAACACUAAAAAUUGCUUAGUUCAAAACUGAAAGGCAAGGCAUAAUAUUACAUGUUUCUUUAUCUCUUUUGUUUUGUAAGUGCCAAUAAAUAGAGAGAUUCAGAGUUAUAAAUGGUGCAGUUGUUUGUGGGAGGGAAGAUAUUGGUUUAUAUGUUUAUAUUUGUAACAAGGAAUGUAAAAUUAUUUGUUUAUGUUUUUGAGGAAAAUUAGUCCUGAGCUAACAUCCUUUGCCAAUCCUCCCCUCUUUGCAGAGGAAGAUUGGCCCUGAGCUAACAUCUGUGCCCAUCUUCCUCUACUUUAUAUGUGGGACGCCUGCCACAGCAUGGCUUGAUGAGUGGUACGUAGGUCUGUUCCCGGGAUCUGAACCUGCAAACCCAGGCUGCUGAAGAAGCGGAGCACGUGAACUUAACCAUUACUUCACCAGGCCAGGCCUAUAAUACAUUUUCUUAAAAAAAAAUAAACAAACACAUGAGCUAUA
rnacentral:lncRNA from 1 species